rnacentral:lncRNA from 1 species
GUAAAUAGCCAAACAUGGCAGAGAUUCUUGGCAUGGUUGCUGCUGUUAUUGGUAUUUCUUUGUUCAUUCAUUCCUUAUCUUCUUACCAUUAUUAACCUUUACCAAGUUUGGGUGUUUCUUGCAGGGAAUGUUGCGUCAGUGUCUCUCUAUGCAGCACCAACGUAUGUUACAUUCCACCACUCGUACAUGCUUUCACCAUCC